AGUGAACGCUGGCGGUAGGCCUAACACAUGCAAGUCGAACGGCAGCACAGUAAGAGCUUGCUCUUACGGGUGGCGAGUGGCGGACGGGUGAGGAAUACAUCGGAAUCUACUUUUUCGUGGGGGAUAAGGUAGGGAAACUUACGCUAAUACCGAAUACGACCUACGGGUGAAAGAAGGGGAUUUUCGGACCUUGCGGGAUUGAAUGAGCCGAUGUCGGAUUAGCUAGUUGGCGGGGUAAAGGCCCACCAAGGCGACGAUCCGUAGCUGGUCUGAGAGGAUGAUCAGCCACACUGGAACUGAGACACGGUCCAGACUCCUACGGGAGGCAGCAGUGGGGAAUAUUGGACAAUGGGCGCAAGCCUGAUCCAGCCAUACCGCGUGGGUGAAGAAGGCCUUCGGGUUGUAAAGCCCUUUUGUUGGGAAAGAAAAGCAGCAGGUUAAUACCCCGCUGUUCUGACGGUACCCAAAGAAUAAGCACCGGCUAACUUCGUG
rnacentral:rRNA from 1 species